GAUGAACGCUGACAGAAUGCUUAACACAUGCAAGUCAACUUGAACUUCGGUUUGGGUGGCGGACGGGUGAGUAACGCGUAAAGAACUUGCCUCACAGCUAGGGACAACAUUUGGAAACGAAUGCUAAUACCUGAUAUUAUGAUUUUAGGGCAUCCUAGAAUUAUGAAAGCUAUAUGCGCUGUGAGAGAGCUUUGCGUCCCAUUAGCUAGUUGGAGAGGUAACGGCUCACCAAGGCGAUGAUGGGUAGCCGGCCUGAGAGGGUGAACGGCCACAAGGGGACUGAGACACGGCCCUUACCCCUACGGGAGGCAGCAGUGGGGAAUAUUGGACAAUGGACCAAGAGUCUGAUCCAGCAAUUCUGUGUGCACGAUGAAGUUUUUCGGAAUGUAAAGUGCUUUCAGUUGGGAAGAAAAAAAUGACGGUACCAACAGAAGAAGUGACGGCUAAAUACGUG
rnacentral:rRNA from 1 species